rnacentral:rRNA from 1 species
AGACGGGGGGGGCGAGCGUUGUUCGGAAUUACUGGGCGUAAAGGGCGCGCAGGCGGCCUGGGAAGUCUUGGGAGAAAGCCCCCGGCUCAACCGGGGAAUGGCCUGAGAAACCACUAGGCUGGAGUGCUGGAGAGGGAAGCGGAAUUCCCGGUGGAGCGGUGAAAUGCGUAGAUAUCGGGAGGAACACCAGAGGCGAAGGCGGCUUCCUGGACAGACACUGACGCUGAGGCGCGAAAGCUAGGGGAGCAAACGGGAUUAGAAACCCCAGUAGUCC